rnacentral:rRNA from 1 species
AGAGUUUGAUCCUGGCUCAGGGUAAACGCUGGCGGCGUGCCUAAAACAUGCAAGUCGAACGCGUACCUUCGGGUGCGAGUGGCAGACGGCUGAGUAACGCGUGGGUGACAUACCCGUAGGUGGGGAAUAACUGCCCGAAAGGGUGGCUAAUUCCGCAUACGCCUCCAUUUUCGAGAGUGGAGGGAAAGUCGCAAGACGCCGAUGGAGUGGCCCGCGUUCGAUUAGCUAGCUGGUGGGGUAACGGCCUACCAGGGCGACGAUCGAUAGCUGGUCUCAGAGGAUGAUCAGCCAGACUGGGACUGAGACACGGCCCAGACUCCUACGGGAGGCAGCAGUUAGGAAUUUUGGGCAAUGGGCGCAAGCCUGACCCAGCAACGCCGCGUGGGUGACGAAGGCCUUCGGGUUGUAAAGCCCUUUUCUGGGGGAAGAUGAUGACGGUACCCCAGGAAGAAGCACCGGCUAACUACGUGCCAGCAGCGGCGGUAAUUC